rnacentral:rRNA from 1 species
UACGUAGGGGGCGAGCGUUGUCCGGAAUUACUGGGCGUAAAGGGCGUGUAGGCGGCUGAGUAAGUCAGGUGUGAAAGGCCACGGCUUAACCGUGGUACUGCACAUGAAACUGCUCAGCUUGAGUGCAGGAGAGGGAAGUGGAAUUCCUAGUGUAGCGGUGAAAUGCGUAGAUAUUAGGAGGAACACCAGUGGCGAAGGCGACUUUCUGGACUGUAACUGACGCUGAGGCGCGAAAGCGUGGGGAGCAAACAGG